CCCUGCCUUUUGUACACACCGCCCGUCGCUACUACCGAUUGAAUGGCUUAGUGAGACCUCCGGAUUGGGGGAGGAUUCCUGUUAAAGGGAUGACACCCUCGAGAAGUUGGUCAAACUUGGUCAUUUAGAGGAAG
rnacentral:rRNA from 1 species